rnacentral:misc_RNA from 1 species
UCCUUUAUUUCGUGCUUCAUGUCGCAGUGGAUGAGAUCCAAAACGGCGUCAUUCGUGAGGCGGCUGUCGUGAGGGCUUACACCAACACAGUGCAGUUCAUCAGUCAGGAACUGUUGUUUUAAAAUCCAGCAACCAUUCAAGCAACAAUGAAUAUUAUGUCCAAAAAGAAGAAGUACAAGUUCCAGGUGGACCUUGAAGUGGAGGAGCUGACGGCAGUGCCAUUUGUUAGUGCCGUACUCUUCUGCAAAGUGCAUCUACUGGAUGGUGGGAAGUUCAUGGAUCACUCUACCAGGGAGGAGGUGCACGACCACAUGGUCAAGUGGAACGCGCGGAUGUCGUUCACGGCCAAGAUGACGGCGCCCUGCAGCACGGGAGUGCUCGACUCGUGCGUCUGCCGGGUCUCCGUCAGAAAGGAGGCCAAGGGCGGUCGCUCGUACCAGAAGCUCGGUUUCGCCGACAUCGACCUGGCUGAGUUUGCCGGCGGCGUGGGCCAGUGUCGGCGCUACCUGCUGCAGGGGUACGACCUGCGACACCGGCAAGACAAUAGCAUGCUGAAGGUGGUGCUGUCGACCACGCUGCUCAGUGGCGACCCAUGCUUCAGGACGCUAACUCCGCGAUCAGCUCAUCACCUACCCGGCGAGGCGGGUGACCUAGCAUCAGAAGCAUCCACCCCGGGGGAGGCGGGCCGCGCGCCACCGUCCGACCAGGCCAGAGGUGACGGAGCGGGCAUUGUGACCGAUCUGGAGACUACCUCGGAGGCUGGCCUGCCGGGCCACUCACGGAACUCGAGCAGCCAGUCGGGGUACGGAAGCCUGGCCUCGCAGCCUUCCCAUAGCCGGCAGAGCAGCGGCUCCGAGCUGGGACACCUCAGGAACGCCAGUAGCGGCUCGGCAUUCUCCGACUACAACUCGAUGGAGCGGCCGGCGACCAGCGAGCGGCGCAAGAAAGAGGCGGCGGCCAGCUGCCGGUUCGACGCGACCCGGGUCAACCCAGAGGACGUCAUUAACGACCUGCUACAGAACACCGACCUCAACUCGGACCACGCAGAAGCGUCAUCCGGCCUGCAGCUGUUCGUGGCGCGGGACGGCAGCACCACGCUCAGCUAGGGACGCCGGUGCCGCCCGCUCUCAGAGCCCAUCUAGUCGUGUACGGCGCGCCGGCCGGCCGUGGCCAGUGAGGAGACAGGGGCAGCUGCGGCUCCGCCCGGUGGUGGGUGGGCGAGGACGGGUCGGUGAUCGUCCUUACCAUCGCCGGGAUGGAGUCGAACCGCCAGCGAGAUGCCGCGAGCUCGGGAAGACACGCCGGGCCGCUCAUCGUAGUAUAUUGGCAUAUAUCAUCACAAGAUCACACAUCAUAUCGGGUCCAGCCUGACGCACGUCAUACAUCUUGGCGUCCUGGACAAAGCGUCACUCGCGUGCUCGCGCGAUGGCGGUGACGUGAAAGAGCGUCACACCUUUCCCGGCGGACGCUCGGCGCGCGUCUCGCAAUCCUGCCCCGUCUUCGAGACGAUAGUUUUCCAUUUUGCUGCUCUUGUCUACGCUAUUUUAUCCAUUUAUCAAUGGCAUUUGUCCGUGCUUAGUGUGCCUGCGAGGCCUGUGUACAGAUUCGAGGCAUUUACACGCAUUACGGUGGGGCCAUCGGUGCACGCGCCCGACGCAUCGUCUAGCGCCUGCCAUCAGUGGUCACUGUCGCUUCCGAAUGUCAACUCCGUGCCAAAGACGGUGAGUAUGCAGUGUACGCGGAUUGCGCCGCUUCGUGCCGACUGUCUCGUCGUACCGUCUCGCCCCCAAUUGUUGUGUAUAUAUCACACAUGUCGCGUGCUGCCGUACAAUAUACUCGCACGCGCGACAGA